rnacentral:rRNA from 1 species
AGAUUGAACGCUGGCGGCAUGCCUUACACAUGCAAGUCGAACGGUAGAGUAGCAAUACUUGAGAGUGGCGAACGGGUGAGUAAUAUAUCGGAACGUGCCCAGUCGUGGGGGAUAACGUAGAGAAAUUUACGCUAAUACCGCAUACGAUCUAAGGAUGAAAGCGGGGGACCGUAAGGCCUCGCGCGAUUGGAGCGGCUGAUAUCAGAUUAGGUUGUUGGUGAGGUAAAAGCUCACCAAGCCGACGAUCUGUAGCUGGUUUGAGAGAACGACCAGCCACACUGGGACUGAGACACCGGCCCAGACUCCUACGGGAGGCAGCAGUGGGAAUUUUGGACAAUGGGCGAAAGCCUGAUCCAGCAAUGCCGCGUGCGAGGAAGAAGGGCCUUCGGGUUGUAAACUUGUCUUUUGGUAACGGAACGAAACGGUUCUAGUCUUUAAGUACUAGUGGACUAAUGACGGUAACGUAAGAAUAAGCACCGGACUAACGUACGUCG